AGGAAUAUUGGUCAAUGGGCGAGAGCCUGAACCAGCCAAGUAGCGUGAAGGAUGACUGCCCUAUGGGUUGUAAACUUCUUUUAUAAAGGAAUAAAGUCGGGUAUGGAUACCCGUUUGCAUGUACUUUAUGAAUAAGGAUCGGCUAACUCCGUGCCAGCAGCCGCGGUAAUACGGAGGAUCCGAGCGUUAUCCGGAUUUAUUGGGUUUAAAGGGAGCGUAGAUGGAUGUUUAAGUCAGUUGUGAAAGUUUGCGGCUCAACCGUAAAAUUGCAGUUGAUACUGGAUAUCUUGAGUGCAGUUGAGGCAGGCGGAAUUCGUGGUGUAGCGGUGAAAUGCUUAGAUAUCACGAAGAACUCCGAUUGCGAAGGCAGCCUGCUAAGCUGCAACUGACAUUGAGGCUCGAAAGUGUGGGUAUCAAACAGGAUUAGAUACCCUGGUAGUCCACACGGUAAACGAUGAAUACUCGCUGUUUGCGAUAUACUGCAAGCGGCCAGGCGAAAGCGUUAAGUAUUCCACCUGGGGAGUACGCCGGCAACGGUGAAACUCAAAGGAAUUGACGGGGGCCCGCACAAGCGGAGGAACAUGUGGUUUAAUUCGAUGAUACGCGAGGAACCUUACCCGGGCUUAAAUUGCAGAUGAAUUACGGUGAAAGCCGUAAGCCGCAAGGCAUCUGUGAAGGUGCUGCAUGGUUGUCGUCAGCUCGUGCCGUGAGGUGUCGGCUUAAGUGCCAUAACGAGCGCAACCCUUGUUGUCAGUUACUAACAGGUUCCGCUGAGGACUCUGACAAGACUGCCAUCGUAAGAUGUGAGGAAGGUGGGGAUGACGUCAAAUCAGCACGGCCCUUACGUCCGGGGCUACACACGUGUUACAAUGGGGGGUACAGAGGGCCGCUACCACGCGAGUGGAUGCCAAUCCCCAAAACCUCUCUCAGUUCGGACUGGAGUCUGCAACCCGACUCCACGAAGCUGGAUUCGCUAGUAAUCGCGCAUCAGCCACGGCGCGGUGAAUACGUUCCCG
rnacentral:rRNA from 1 species